GUUCUGCCCCUGAACAGGCAGUUAACCCACUGUUCCUAGGCCGUCAUUGAAACCCCCUGUAUCGGUGCCGCAUCGGAUUCGCUCUGGGAACACACGAGAAGGGAAGACCCUCUCUGAGAUCAACUUCGAUCAAGUCAAGUUUGAUCCCCUGCUUAGGAAGGAGACUGAA